rnacentral:lncRNA from 10 species
CCUGGGUCCUGCUGGCAACCAGCAGCACCCAGUGGCCAGCAGCGUACUCUUUCACCUCUUCUUGGGUGACUUUGUGGAAUGCUCCAAUGUGACAUCUCCCUGUGAACGCCUUUCCUGACACCCUAAAAAGUGUCAGGAAUUUCCAGCAAGUUCCAGAGAGCAGGUUUCCAGCAAGUUUGGUCAGUAUGACACCACAGCGAUAUCUCUGCCAUUCACUGAACUUGGAUUCUUCCUUCUUCAGUGAGAGAUGUUCAAGAAAAAGAACAACUUCAGUGGAAGAAGAAGAAGAUAGGAGCCCAGGUCCUGUGUUUCACCAAGACAGCCGUGCAAAGCAGAUGCUGCCAAAAAGGUGCAAAGUGGUUUGUCAGCUCUUCUGCAUGUUCUAACAAAUUAGACAUGCAUCCCAAAAGGUUUCCUAGACUUUCCAUCACCACCAGUGAAUUCUGAGUGACAAUAGUGUGGAAUUUGGAAGAAUGGAAGAGAAACUGAAGUGGAGAGAUGGUGAAAGAGAAGAAAAAAUGAAGAAAGAUGCUUGCAAAAAUACUGCUGUGGGUCCUGAGAUGAGGAUUCUGGGAGGGCUGAAAUGGAUGCCCCUGACAGCUCCCUUUGAGUUCCUGUUCAUCUGAAGUACACCAGCUUUCUAGAUAUGCUGUCACUUUCCUUCUGCAGAGCCACAGUGGUGUCCUGUCUUCUCAGACCUCUUCUCACCUCAAAUCACUUAGGACUCGGCCACCAGACAGAUUUGGGAUUUCAGAACUUUUCAGAUGUUAGAAAGUUCUUUUCUAAAUGUGAUGAGGAAUUACGGAAUCAUAAAAUGGAAGCAGAGUUAAACUCAGACAUGUGGGCACUCAAGGCAAUUAGGAGCUUUCUGCGAUGAGAAAGGGAUCAGACUGAUCCUUAAGACUUUAUGCAACCCCAGAGUAUUGCAGCCACCUGCAUGCCGAAGGUGUCAAGAGUGUUCUCACUGCUGCCUAUAGGAGGGUCUUCAGCCUCCAGUGAUCCAAAGUACCAGGAGUAUGAUGGCCAAUGGAUCCAAAACCUAUCCUAUAUCUACAUGUUGGUGGCCACAUUAAUCUGACAUCUGACAGCAAGAGCGAUGAUUGGGUUCACUGGAAAUCUUUGUGAAGUACGAGUGAAGUCCUUGUGAAGUCAGAGUUUCCUCUUCAUGCCUCUACUCCUAUGCAGUUUGACCUCUCAGUGUGCAGCUGGUGAUAGAUGGAAACCCUUGUUCAUAAGCUUUGUGGCACUGUCGGCAGGAUGAGGGGACUUCUGGAUCCUCACUGGUCACUGUGGCAGAGUGGUUGGUGUUGUCUGCUCCCUAGACAGGAACCCACUGAAGAAUCUGACAUUUUUUGAUAUGCUGGCAUUCAUUGUUACAGCCCAUCAUCCCAGCCAUCAAUCCAGGACAUGGGGUCUGUGCCCACGGUGGGAAGGAGGAGGGGGAAGCUGGCUUUGUUCUGACGUUGGGCUUCUUCUGCUCCACCAGUACUUUCUGUGGGGGAAAUAGGUAAAGAAAUGGCUGUUCAGAUGAGAAGAUGUGUCAGUAAACUUUUGCUACAGUGAUGCUGCAAAACAAAUCACUGGUGACUUUCAGUGGCACACAGCAAUAAACAUUUAUUUAGCUCAGGGAUUGACAAUCUUUUUUUUUUUUUAAAGGGCCAAAUAGUAAAUAUUUUAGGUGUUUCAGGCCAUACAGUCUCUGAACUCUGAACUUGUAGCACAACAGUAGCCUUAGAUGCUAUGCAAAUGGAGGAGCAUGACUGUGUUCCAAUAAAACUUUAUUUAUGGACACUAAAAUUGGAAUUUCAUGGAAUUUUUAUAUGUUAAGAAAUAUUAUACUUUGAUUUUUU